rnacentral:rRNA from 1 species
CGAAUACCGGAGAAUGUUAUCACGGGAGACACACGGCGGGUGCUAACGUCCGUCGUGAAGAGGGAAACAACCCAGACCGCCAGCUAAGGUCCCAAAGUCAUGGUUAAGUGGGAAACGAUGUGGGAAGGCCCAGACAGCCAGGAUGUUGGCUUAGAAGCAGCCAUCAUUUAAAGAAAGCGUAAUAGCUCACUGGUCGAGUCGGCCUGCGCGGAAGAUGUAACGGGGCUAAACCAUGCACCGAAGCUGCGGCAGCGACGCUUAUGCGUUGUUGGGUAGGGGAGCGUUCUGUAAGCCUGUGAAGGUGUACUGUGAGGUAUGCUGGAGGUAUCAGAAGUGCGAAUGCUGACAUAAGUAACGAUAAAGCGGGUGAAAAGCCCGCUCGCCGGAAGACCAAGGGUUCCUGUCCAACGUUAAUCGGGGCAGGGUGAGUCGACCCCUAAGGCGAGGCCGAAAGGCGUAGUCGAUGGGAAACAGGUUAAUAUUCCUGUACUUGGUGUUACUGCGAAGGGGGGACGGAGAAGGCUAUGUUGGCCGGGCGACGGUUGUCCCGGUUUAAGCGUGUAGGCUGGUUUUCCAGGCAAAUCCGGAAAAUCAAGGCUGAGGCGUGAUGACGAGGCACUACGGUGCUGAAGCAACAAAUGCCCUGCUUCCAGGAAAAGCCUCUAAGCAUCAGGUAACAUCAAAUCGUACCCCAAACCGACACAGGUGGUCAGGUAGAGAAUACCAAGGCGCUUGAGAGAACUCGGGUGAAGGAACUAGGCAAAAUGGUGCCGUAACUUCGGGAGAAGGCACGCUGAUAUGUAGGUGAAGUCCCUCGCGGAUGGAGCUGAAAUCAGUCGAAGAUACCAGCUGGCUGCAACUGUUUAUUAAAAACACAGCACUGUGCAAACACGAAAGUGGACGUAUACGGUGUGACGCCUGCCCGGUGC